GAGAGAUAUAUAUAGAGGUAGAGAGGGAGAGAGAUAUAUAUAGAGGUAGAGAGGGAGAGAGAUAUAUAUAUAGGUAGAGAGAGAGAGAGAUAGAUAUAUAGGUAGAGAGGGAGAGAGAGAGAGAGGUAGAGAGGGAGAGGGAGAGAUAGAUAUAGAGGUAGAGAGGGAGAGAGAUAUAUAUAGAGGGAGAGAGGGAGAGAGAGAUAUAUAUAGAGGUAGAGAGGGAGAGAGAGAGAUAGAUAUAGAGGUAGAGAGGGAGAGAGAGAGAGAGGUAGAGAGGGAGAGAGAGAGAUAGAUAUAGAGGUAGAGAGGGAGAGAGAGAGAUAGAUAUAUAGGUAGAGAGGGAGAGAGAGAGAGAGGUAGAGAGGGAGAGGGAGAGAUAGAUAUAGAGGUAGAGAGGGAGAGAGAUAUAUAUAGAGGGAGAGAGGGAGAGAGAGAUAUAUAUAGAGGUAGAGAGGGAGAGAGAGAGAUAGAUAUAGAGGUAGAGAGGGAGAGAGAGAGAGAGGUAGAUAGGGAAAGAGAGAGAGAUAUAUAUAGAGGUAGAGAGGUAGAGAUAUAUAUAUAGAGGUAGAGAGGGAGAGAGAGAGAUAGAUAGAUAUAGAGGUAGAGAGAGAGAGAGAGAGAGAGGUAGAGAGGGAAAGAGAGAGAUAUAUAGAGGUAGUUAAAACACUGUAUAUAUAUAACAUGACAUUUGUAAUGUCUUUAUUGUUUUGAAACUUCUGUAUGUGUAAUGUUUACUGUUAAUUGUUAUUGUUUAUUUCACUUUAUAUCUACCUCAGUUGCUUUGGCAAUGUUAACACAUGUUUCCCAUGCCAAUAAAGCCCUUGAAUUGAAUUGAAUUGAAUUGAAUUGAUAUAGAGGUAGAUAGGGAGAGAGAGAGAUAGAUAUAGAGGUAGAUUGGGAGAGAGAGAUAGAUAUAGAGGUAGAUAUGGAGAGAGAAAGAGAGAUAGAUAUAGAGGUAGAUAGGGAGAGAUAGAUAUAGAGGUAGAGAGAGAGAUAUAGAGGUAGAUAGGGAGAGAGAGAUAGAUAUAGAGGUAGAUAGGGAGAGAGAGAUAGAUAUAGAGGUAGAUAGGGAGAGAGAGAUAGAUAUAGAGGUAGAUAUGGAGAGAGAGAUCGAUAUAGAGGUAGAUAGGGAGAGAUAGAUAGAUAUAGAGGUAGAGAGGGAGAGAGAGAUGCUUCAAAGAGGUGAGGUUUUACCUGAUCCAUGUUCUGGUGUCUGUCUAAUCAGAGGGAAGGUGUUAUAGAUGGUACCAGGUAUCCAGGUGUCUGUCUAAUCAGAGGUAAGGUGUUAUAGAUGGUACCAGGUAUCCAGGUGUCUGUCUAAUCAGAGGGAAGGUGUUAUAGAUGGUACCAGGUAUCCAGGUGUCUGUCUAAUCAGAGGUAAGGUGUUAUAGAUGGUACCAGGUAUCCAGGUGUCUGUCUAAUCAGAGGUAAGGUGUUAUAGAUGGUACCAGGUAUCCAGGUGUCUGCCUCAAAGACCCAGUACAGCAUCAAGUGGUGAGGGGACUGCAGGAUACGUUUUGGCAAGUAUUGGGUUAUUCUGUGUUUGUAGCAUGCAUUCAACUAUUGUUUCUCCUCCUCUCGCCUCUAUGUGUGUGUGUGUGUGUGUGUGUGUGUGUGUGUGUGUGUGUGUGUGUGUGUGUGUGUGUGUGUGUGUGUGUGUGUGUGUGUGUGUGUGUGUGUGUGUGUGUGUGUGUGUGUGUGUGUGUGUGUGUGUGUGUGUGUGUGUGUGUGUGUGUGUGUGUGUGUGUGUGUGUGUGUGUGUGUGU